AAGCUGGAAUCGCUAGUAAUCGCGGAUCAGAAUGCCGCGGUGAAUACGUUCCCGGGUCUUGUACACACCGCCCGUCACACCAUGGGAGUCGGAAAUGCCCGAAGUCUGUGACCCAACCUGAGAGGGAGGGAGCAGCCGAAGGCAGGUCUGAUGACUGGGGUGAAGUCGUAACAAGGUAGC
rnacentral:rRNA from 1 species